rnacentral:rRNA from 1 species
GACGAACGCUGGCGGCGUGCUUAACACAUGCAAGUCGAACGGAAAGGCCCUGCUUUUGUGGGGUGCUCGAGUGGCGAACGGGUGAGUAACACGUGAGUAACCUGCCCUUGACUUUGGGAUAACUUCAGGAAACUGGGGCUAAUACCGGAUAGGAGCUCCUGCUGCAUGGUGGGGGUUGGAAAGUUUCGGCGGUUGGGGAUGGACUCGCGGCUUAUCAGCUUGUUGGUGGGGUAGUGGCUUACCAAGGCUUUGACGGGUAGCCGGCCUGAGAGGGUGACCGGCCACAUUAGGACUGAGAUACGGCCCAGACGCCUACCGGAGGCAGCGGUGGAGAAUAUUACACAAUGGGCGGAAGCCUGAUGCGACAGCGCCGCGUGCGGGAUGACGGCCUUCGGGUUGUAAACCGCUUUCGCCUUAGACGAGGCGUGAGUGACGGUAAUGGGUAAAGAAGCACCGGCUAACUACGUG